UCCUAUUUAAGUCUCAAACAGCAGAGUGGACCUCCAGAGACACUGAGGAUGGAAAUGAAAAUGUUUCUUCCGUUGCUGCUGCUAGUCUGCUCUGUCUCUACAGCUGAGCUGCAAGUUCAGUCUGACAAUGACAUUCUGUCACAUGUACGGCAAAGAGAGGACCAAGUGGGAGAAGCAGAGCCUCUGACUGAGCAUCAGACCUGCACACAGGACAUCAAUGCUGUUCUGAGASAGAUGAGCGCCUGGGUGGCAGCACUGAAGGUGGAGGUGCAGCACCUACAGAGAGACAAUGAAGUGAAGACGACUGAGCUGUAAUCCCUGAACCAACGGUACCAAGUACAAGAAACUCAGUUUAAAGAACAGAAACAACAGAAUCCAAGCUCAGACAGCAGAACGGGCUGCUGUUAAAGUCAAGGCCAACAUCACUAGAAACCAAGUGGAGGCUCUGAAGAGAGAAGCAGAAGGUUUGUGAACUCUGAAGGAAACUGAUAAUAUUAACAUCCAUAUUAGUGAUUUUCAUGACAAUCAUACUGUUGGGAAAAUCUUUAUCAUUAUUCUUUGUCAUCUACUAAGAAUCAAGUUUCAGAAUUGUUCAUCUAAAGCAAAUGAAAAUGUAGAAAAAAGCAGAAGUCCCUUGGAGGAAUAAAAACAUUUGCAGCUUCCUCAAAGGUGAGAGAAACUGAUGUGCAGAAGAGACACAUUAAUGUGAAGAUUGAACUAGUAGUUUUGAGAAUUUCAAUUCUGUUCUGAGAAAUGAAUCAAAGUGACUGAUAAGAACAGCACAUUUAGGUACAUGUGAAUUAACUGGAUUUAUCAGUCAGUAGAGAUGUUUAAACAAUAUGAAUUGUGGAAAAUGUUGCAAUGUUUAAUACUUUUCCUUCCUUUAUAAGUGCAUUUGAUGUCCCAUGUCUGUCUCUCAGCCAAACAACUGGCUUUCUCUGCCUCUUUCCUGGCAUCGGGUUAUGGACACACUGGACUGUUCAACACCCCAAUAAAUCUGAUCUUCAAACGUGUUGUUACUAAUAUUUGAAAUGCCUACAACCCAGAAACAGGGCUGUUCACUGCACCAGUAAGAGGAGUCUAUCMCUUUGAGUUCCACAUAUAUGGACAUGGUUCUACUAAUCCKACAGCUGUUGUGUUGGUCAAGGAUGGAGAGGAAAUCUUUACAGCACGGUCGUCUCAGCCUGCUGGUGGUCAGAAAGCUUCUAAUAGUGUCUCACUACUAUUAGAAAUUGGAGAUGUUGUAUUUAUGCGCAUGUUUGCAAAGGCACGUAUUUAUGACGAUUUAAAUUGUCACACUACCUUUAGUGGUCAUUUACUUUUCACCAUGUAGGCAUCUAACAUGAUUUGUGAGCAUGAUAAAACCCUUCUGUCUUGAAAAACUUAAUUAUGAAAAUGAUUCAUUUGUAAAAUAAAGUUGAUCACAGGUUUGUUCAUCCUGCUGUUUGGUUUCUACAGCAGCCAUAAGUAACAUGUCUAUAUUGGAGAAAAUUAUGAUUUUUGCUGUAGUCUAAUCAGAACAUAAAAGCUGAACAAGAUCAUCUGAAUUAAAAUGUCGUUUACAACCUUUAUGAAAACUUAAUGAGUAAACUGUCUGUCGUAA